CAUACCUUCCCGUUAUAGAGUCAUUUGGAUUUUCAGGUACCUUGAGAGCUGCUACUUCAGGUCAAGCUUUCCCACAAUGUGUGUUUGAUCAUUGGGAAAUGAUGUCAUCCGACCCAUUGGAAUCUGGCUCACAAGCUCAGCAACUUAUCCUUGAUAUCCGCAAGAGGAAGGGGUUGAAGGAGCAAAUGACCCCUCUAUCCGAGUUUGAGGACAAGCUUUAAGAUAGAUGUACGAGGAGACAGCAGAUAUGUCACCUGCUCAAUUGGAUCUACGGAAGUUUUGUUUUACAUCUGUUGUCUUUCUGUUUGGAUACUUAAUUUGAACAUUUUGUGUUGAUUAG
rnacentral:lncRNA from 1 species